GCCAGCAGCCAUAUCACCCUGCAACUCACAACUGGCAGCCCAGUGAAGCUCAGCUCAGGUGUGAGCCUGCUCAGUACCUGGAUGGGAGACCUCCUAGGAAAAACAUAGGUUGCUGCAGUCU
rnacentral:rRNA from 1 species